UACGAAGGGGGCUAGCGUUGUUCGGAAUUACUGGGCGUAAAGCGCACGUAGGCGGAUCUGUAAGUUGGGGGUGAAAUCCCAGGGCUCAACCCUGGAACUGCCUUCAAGACUGCAGGUCUCGAGGUCAGGAGAGGCGAGUGGAAUACCGAGUGUAGAGGUGAAAUUCGUAGAUAUUCGGUGGAACACCAGUGGCGAAGGCGACUCGCUGGACUGAUACUGACGCUGAGGUGCGAAAGCGUGGGGAGCAAACAGG
rnacentral:rRNA from 1 species